rnacentral:snoRNA from 1 species
AUGUGCGGUGCGGGCAGCGCCUGAGCAGUGAUGAUCUCAUCUCACGCGA